GACGAACGCUGGCGGCGUGCUUAACACAUGCAAGUCGAACGGUAAGGCCCUUCGGGGUACACGAGUGGCGAACGGGUGAGUAACACGUGGGUGAUCUGCCCUGCACUUCGGGAUAAGCCUGGGAAACUGGGUCUAAUACCGGAUAGGACCACUGCCUGCAUGGGUGGUGGUGGAAAGCCUUUGCGGUGUGGGAUGGGCCCGCGGCCUAUCAGCUUGUUGGUGGGGUGAUGGCCUACCAAGGCGACGACGGGUAGCCGGCCUGAGAGGGUGACCGGCCACACUGGGACUGAGAUACGGCCCAGACUCCUACGGGAGGCAGCAGUGGGGAAUAUUGCACAAUGGGCGCAAGCCUGAUGCAGCGACGCCGCGUGAAGGAUGACGGCCUUCGGGUUGUAAACCUCUUUCAGCACCGACGAAGCGCAAGUGACGGUAGGUGCAGAAGAAGGACCGGCCAACUACGUGCCAGCCGCCGCUGUAAAAC
rnacentral:rRNA from 1 species